UGUAGGUAUAUAUAUACCGUUCUGAACAAAUAUUUAUUGAAGACACAUACAUUAUACCCAGGGCUGUGAUCUCUGAUCGUAGACAUCAGGCCCGAUGCUUGCAACAGAAUGAAUUCCUCUGUUAAAGGAACACAAUAGCCAAGUGGUGUUCUUAAACUAGGUGGCGGGUUAGUCUACCAUCUAAAUUAUCCACGGCGAUAUUGGAACUCAGAAUUCAAAGAGCCGGAACAAAUAUUUCAAUGCUUUUCCACCAACGUUCUAAUGAUAACGGCAGUUCACUGCUUUUAAUUUCCCUGACCUCUGAAUGAUAAAAGGUAAGUUUGGCCUUGCUGAGAUUUGAAAUCAGAAUGUAAGGUGCCAGAAAGAAUAGCACAAGAUAUUACACCUGGUGUUCUAUCGACUCCGCCAGAAUGCUGCUCAUUGCUCUCUAAGUCUCAAAAGUUGGACGCGGCACAACAAUCUAACGGACGACUCGUCAAUCUCUAAAAGGUGAUCAACGGUGCUACUUACAUCAGCGAGCCAACGGAGAAGCCUCUACGCGGUUUCUCACCCACAUAGCAGCUAAAUCUCUCUCAUACCUUACCUGCCUACCACACUAAAUAAUGUAGACUGUAGUGUUCUGUUCCUAAGGAAAAAGAUAGGGUAUUGGGGUUGGAAAUAAUUUUGAUCAAUAGUUCCCUCAAGGAAAGAAUACCUGGAAUUAAUCAAGGACAAGAUCAAAGAACUACAAUUCAGUAUAUGCUUACAACAAAAGUUACUCUAUCUUAUUGGAACCCGGGUGACUUAGCUAACAGCGAAUACAGGAAUGAAAAAAAAUCGCUACCCCUAGAGGAGCAAACGAACUGUCGAUCUCUCGACCAUUGACUGGCAAUCCGCUAAACUAUCUAUUAUUGUAUACACCUGCUCAUAUCUUUAUCUCCCAUAAUAUAUUUUUCGUUUGUGCAUUCCUAUGAAACACCCCCACUGUUUCAUCUGUGGCGAAUUUCAACAUUAAGCAGAUUUUCUAUCAUAAUACUAUAUUACGAAGGAUCUUGAUUGUGUCGAGGAAGAAGAAAAAUUGAAAACGCUCAUAACUGGUGAGGAAUCGUGAGUCUAUGGCUACGACCCCGAAACCAAGGCAAAAAUCAUAUCCCAUUUGAAAGGAAUAAGAUUUCAAGACAUCGAAGAAAUCCAAGAGAAUUCGAGGAGACAGCUGCUCGCUGUCCUCCCAAAAGAGUUCCAGAAAUACUUCUAUCAAUGAAAACGAUGUUGGAUAAAGCGUGUGAGAUAAGUUCGAAGGAAAUUAAAUUCCGGAUUAAUAUC
rnacentral:lncRNA from 1 species